UUUCCGUAGGUGAACCUGCGGAAGGAUCAUUACUGCUUGCUUACGGUUUCGUUCGGGCAACCGAGCGGGGCCGGGCACGCUACCCUUGCUUAUGUAUACCUAUUGUUAUUCCCUCGGCGGGGAGACCCGCCGCUGGGAUCACUUAAACCCUUUUGUAUAAAGCAUCAAACUUCUGAAAACAAAUUAAUAAUCACAACUUUCAACAAUGGAUCUCUUGGUUCUGGCAUCGAUGAAGAACGCAGC
rnacentral:misc_RNA from 1 species